GCAGUGAUGGCCGAGUGGUUAAGGCGUCUGACUCGAAAUCAGAUGGGAUCUUCCCGCGUAGGUUCGAAUCCUACUCACUGCG
rnacentral:tRNA from 1 species